rnacentral:rRNA from 1 species
UACGUAGGGUGCAAGCGUUAAUCGGAAUUACUGGGCGUAAAGCGUGCGCAGGCGGUUUUGUAAGUCUGUCGUGAAAGCCCCGGGCUCAACCUGGGAAUUGCGAUGGAGACUACAAGGCUUGAAUCUGGCAGAGGGGGGUAGAAUUCCACGUGUAGCAGUGAAAUGCGUAGAGAUGUGGAGGAACACCGAUGGCGAAGGCAGCCCCCUGGGUCAAGAUUGACGCUCAUGCACGAAAGCGUGGGGAGCAAACAGG